rnacentral:lncRNA from 1 species
AAAAUUUACCUUGAUCGGUGUAAUCGUUUAGUGGACGUCGCCCCUAAGGUUAACAUAGUACUUCAACAUUCGUGCACUCGAAUAAAGAAUGUGGAACACAAUUGGUAUUGCUAUUCUCAAAAGGAAUCGGAACUGAAAAAACAAAAGCAAUUGGUCAAAAAUUUGAUCGAAAAAUAAACUUAAAGAAAACUUGCGAAACCAUACUAGGUUCAAUUCCCAAGAAAGAUUGGAGGGGUCAUAGAUGGUCCUGCUUAAAACUCAAUAACAGAAUUUUCCUCUCGCGUAAUUUCGUAGAGCACCAGA